rnacentral:rRNA from 1 species
UGGGGAAUAUUGGACAAUGGGCGCAAGCCUGAUCCAGCAAUGCCGCGUGUGUGAUGAAGGCCUUCGGGUUGUAAAGCACUUUCGCACGCGACGAUGAUGACGGUAGCGUGAGAAGAAGCCCCGGCUAACUUCGUGCCAGCAGCCGCGGUAAUACGAAGGCCACAAGCGUUAUCCGGAUUUAUUGGGCGUAAAGGGCGCGUAGGGGGUUUUGCAAGUCUAUGGUAAAAUUUCGAAGCUUAACUUCGAACCCGCCGAAGAAACUGCAAGACUAGAGAGUGUUAGAGGCAGAUAGAACGCACGGUGUAGGGGUGAAAUCCGUUGAUAUCGUGCGGAAUACCAAAGGCGAAGGCAUUCUGCUGGGACAUUUCUGACCCUGAGGCGCGAAAGCGUGGGGAGCAAAAAGG